rnacentral:rRNA from 1 species
UACGUAGGGUGCAAGCGUUGUCCGGAAUUAUUGGGCGUAAAGAGCUCGUAGGCGGUCUGUUGCGUCCGCUGUGAAAACCCGGGGCUUAACCCCUGGCUUGCAGUGGAUACGGACAGACUAGAGGUAGGUAGGGGAGAAUGGAAUUCCCGGUGUAGCGGUGAAAUGCGCAGAUAUCGGGAGGAACACCGGUGGCGAAGGCGGUUCUCUAGUACGGUACUGACGCUGAGACGCGAAAGCGUGGGGAGCGAACAGG